rnacentral:rRNA from 1 species
GUCUGUGGCUAUACCACCAUGCCUGAGCCCAGUUUCAUCUGAUCUUGGAAGCUAAGUAAGCAAGGUCAGGCCUGGUUAGUACUUGGAUGGGAGAAGUACUAACACCACACCUG